AUAAUUCAGUGGUAGAGUGUGUGCUUAGCAUGCAUGAGGUCCUGGGUUCAAUCCCCAGU
rnacentral:tRNA from 1 species